UACAGAGGUCCCGAGCGUUUGUUCGGAUUCACUGGGCGUAAAGGGUGCGUAGGUGGCGUGGUAAGUUUUGAUGUGAAAGCUCAGGGCUUAACCCUGAAAUGGCAUUGAAUACUACUGUGCUGGAGGUUUUGGAGGGGGGGACUGGAAUUCUUUGGUGUAGCAGUGAAAAUGCGUAGAUAUCAAGAGGAACACCAGUGGCGAAGGCGAGUCCCUGGACAACACCUGACACUGAGGCACGAAAAGCUAGGGGGAGCAAAACAGG
rnacentral:rRNA from 1 species